UAAGGGACCGCUCAUUAUUUAUUGUACAGGGGGGGACUGAGGAGAAACUCUACAGUUAUAAAAUUUUUUCGUUGCCCCCCUCUUAAGACAAGUAAAAUUUUCAAAGCCCCCCCCCCCACAGGCAAAACAAGAACAUAAAUUUUGCCUCCCCCCCCUCUAGCUCUUUAUCUUUAUUUAAAGAAACAAAAACUCUAGCUGUUUAUUUUAGAGAAAGAAAAAUAGGUAAUGGGGACCAAUAGACAUUCCCAUUAUAGACUAAUUUUUUAUCUUAGCAAAAAAAGUAUAUUCCCGGGAAGGGCAUACUAAAAUUAGUCAAAUUCCAAAGUUUGGUUGCAAAAUGUUGUAAAAUAUGUAGAAAAUAUAGCCUUCCAAAGUUUGCAAAUUUUGUAUUCUUUUGUAUAAUUGCAAUUUUCGCAUGCAAUACAAAAGUGUACAAAAUUUGCAAACUUUGCAAGGCUAUAUUUUCCGUAUUUUGCAACAAUUCGCAACCAAACUUUGCAAUAAUUUACUUAUUUUAAUAUGCUCUUUCCAGCUGUGGUGAUUUAUUUGCAUCAAGGCCGGAUUUUGAGGGAAGUGUGGAGAGGUGCGCACCUCCCCAGAGAUCGUUUUGCACCUCCCCUGAGAAUUUUUCCACCUCUCUUGAAAGGUCAUGCACUUCCCCUUGGGAAAGUUUCAAUGAUGGAACAAAGUGAAAAUGUGAUGGUUGCUUAGGAUCUACACUUUGUGACGUAAGAAAGUUUUCUCUGUAAAAUUGAAACAGUGAUAGCCAUGUCAAGUACCCUUUUAAUGCAAUGUUUUGAAAGAAACAGUGUAGCAAUUGCAAUGAAGGGCAAGAUUGGAGUCAUACAUUCAUAAUUCAUUAAUACACUGGUACAUAUUAUGUACACUACAUGCAUACCUCACCUCGUUGAUAUUGGCCUGUUCUACAAUAAGCCCUAACUUUCCAUGGGAGUUGUGAGCUAGACCGCUGCACCUCUCCUAAAAUUUUUGUCCACC